GGGUGUGGAGGCUCAGAAGGCAGGCCCGCUAUCCCCGUCACCCCAGGAUGAGGGGAAGAAGCAGCUGUCCCAGGUGGAACGUGGGACUUCGUCCAGGAAGAGAGAGAGCCACCCAAGAGCCAGAGCUCUCAAGUGCCAGUGGGAAAACCCGACCUGGAGAGCCUGCAGGCUAGAAAUCGGACACGAGAAUACGCUGUCCUCCAGAAGCGACCCCUGUCGCGCUAUGUCCCCCAUAACACCUGGGACCCCAGCUGGAACCACUGUCCUUACACGGGGAAGGAUGUGCUGCCCUGCGAAUCCUCCACGGUGGUAAGGAAGAGUAACACUAGUAACAAAAAAGUAACCAGUGGUAACCAGAGAAAAUCAAUGGCAACAAAAGUAAUUGACAAUGAUACGGAGUAACCAGUGGCAACAAAAGUCACCAUGGUAAUGACAAAUAAUCAGUGGGGACAAAAGCAACUGCUGGUCACAAGUAAUCAGUAGUAACAAAAGGGACAGCUGGUAAGGACAACCAGCACUUAAGUGUAAGCGGCCGCUGGUCACCACCAGUAACCCAGCGACUCCGGGGCAGGCCUGGCUCAGCCAGGCCACCUCGUGUAGCCUCCAAGGCCACCUCCAAGGAGGCGGGAGGCUCCCUGUAGGGCCUGGACCGCUGCUGCUCCUGGGCUGGGAACAUCCGUGUUCCUUUGAGCCUUCCCAGUCGCCGAGUGAAGCUGCCUGCCUUCCGAUGAAACCAUUGCGGGGGCCUCUGAGGAGGGGACCCUUCCUGCCUGGUUCUCACAGAAGUCACCAGAUUCACCUGACUCAAACUCAGUCAGAUUUCCAUCACCUUCCUGACUAGAGCACUGUGGGGCCUCCUGCUUCCUCCCACAGGCCUCAGCUCCCUGGUCAUCUCCCUGCAAAGACUGUCACCAGCUACCCCACGUGAAAGAGGUUCUGCACCGGAAGCCAGCCACCGUCACCAGGGUGGGGUUUUUAGUGAAACUACUUGAGCUCCCUGGUUUAAUUCCUGCUGUCCCCUGGGAUGUGCACAGAACAGAGGGCCCCCAGAGGAGGAGCUGUGUCUGGGGGAGGGUGGGAUCUGGCUCACCAGCGCCUGCAUGUCAUACAUGGUGCUCAGAUGGUCCCAGAUGACCUUGGAUGGGACCUGCCGACCAAUGUUCUGGCUGAACUUGUCCCGAAUACAGAUCAUGUGGAA